rnacentral:rRNA from 1 species
GGCGAACGGGUGAGUAACACGUGAGUAACCUGCCCUCAGCUUUGGGAUAACCCUCGGAAACGGGGGCUAAUACCGGAUAUUCAUGUCGUGUGGCAUCACAUGGUGUGGAAAGUUUUUCGGCUGGGGAUGGGCUCGCGGCCUAUCAGCUUGUUGGUGGGGUGAUGGCCUACCAAGGCGACGACGGGUAGCCGGCCUGAGAGGGCGACCGGCCACACUGGGACUGAGACACGGCCCAGACUCCUACGGGAGGCAGCAGUGGGGAAUUUUCCGCAAUGGGCGAAAGCCUGACGGAGCCAGACCGCGUGGGGGACGAAGGCUCUUGGGUUGUAAACCCCUUUUCUCAGGGAAGAAAAAAAUGACGGUACCUGAGGAAUAAGCAUCGGCUAACUCCGUGCCAGCAGCCGCGGUAAUA